AGUGAACGCUGGCGGUAGGCCUAACACAUGCAAGUCGAACGGCAGCGCAGUAAGAGCUUGCUCUUACGGGUGGCGAGUGGCGGACGGGUGAGGAAUACAUCGGAAUCUACUUUUUCGUGGGGGAUAACGUAGGGAAACUUACGCUAAUACCGCAUACGACCUACGGGUGAAAGCAGUGGAUCUUCGGACCUUGCGCGAUUGAAUGAGCCGAUGUCGGAUUAGCUAGUUGGCGGGGUAAAGGCCCACCAAGGCGACGAUCCGUAGCUGGUCUGAGAGGAUGAUCAGCCACACUGGAACUGAGACACGGUCCAGACUCCUACGGGAGGCAGCAGUGGGGAAUAUUGGACAAUGGGCGCAAGCCUGAUCCAGCCAUACCGCGUGGGUGAAGAAGGCCUUCGGGUUGUAAAGCCCUUUUGUUGGGAAAGAAAAGCAGCAGGUUAAUACCCCGCUGUUCUGACGGUACCCAAAGAAUAAGCACCGGCUAACUUCGUG
rnacentral:rRNA from 1 species